UACAGAGGGGGCAAGCGUUAUUCGGAAUUAUUGGGCGUAAAGGGCGCGUAGGCGGCUUGGCAAGUGGAAGGUGAAAUCCCUCGGCUUAACCGAGGAACUGCCCUCCAAACUGCUUGGCUUGAGACCGGGAGAGGUGAGUGGAAUUCCCAGUGUAGCGGUGAAAUGCGUAGAUAUUGGGAAGAACACCAGUGGCGAAGGCGGCUAUCUGGAUGGUUUCUGACGCUAAGACGCGAAAGCGUGGGGAGCAAACAGG
rnacentral:rRNA from 1 species